rnacentral:rRNA from 1 species
AGUCAUAUGCUUGUCUCAAAGAUUAAGCCAUGCAUGUCUCAGUACAAGCCAAAUUAAGGUGAAACCGCGAAAGGCUCAUUAAAUCAGUUAUGGUUCCUUAGAUCGUACUAACAAUUACUUGGAUAACUGUGGUAAUUCUAGAGCUAAUACAUGCAAACAGAGCUUCGACCGGAGACGGAAGGAGUGCUUUUAUUAGAUCAAAACCAAUCGGUGGGCGGGUUCGCGCUCGUUCAUCGUCCAAUUUGGUGACUCUGAAUAACUUUACGCUGAUCGCACGGUCUUUGCACCGGCGACGCAUCUUUCAAAUGUCUGCCUUAUCAACUGUCGAUGGUAGGUUCUGCGCCUACCAUGGUUGUAACGGGUAACGGGGAAUCAGGGUUCGAUUCCGGAGAGGGAGCCUGAGAAACGGCUACCACAUCCAAGGAAGGCAGCAGGCGCGCAAAUUACCCACUCCCGGCACGGGGAGGUAGUGACGAAAAAUAACGAUACGGGACUCAUCCGAGGCCCCGUAAUCGGAAUGAGUACACUCUAAACCCUUUAACGAGGAUCAAUUGGAGGGCAAGUCUGGUGCCAGCAGCCGCGGUAAUUCCAGCUCCAAUAGCGUAUAUUAAAGUUGUUGCGGUUAAAAAGCUCGUAGUCGAAUUUGUGUCUCGCGCCGCCGGUUCAUCGUCCGCGGUGUUAACUGGCGAGUCGCGAGACGUCCUGCCGGUGGGCUCGCGGCGCAUUCGCGCGCGUGGCGGCGUUACCAACUCACAGUGUUGUGUCGGUGGCGUUCGUCCGUCGUGUCGCGGAUCGCGUUUCGAGGGCCCAACUCAAUCCCGCCGCGGUGCUCUUCAUUGAGUGUCGAGGUGGGCCGGCACGUUUACUUUGAACAAAUUAGAGUGCUUAAAGCAGGCUAAAAUUUCGCCUGAAUACUGUGUGCAUGGAAUAAUGGAAUAGGACCUCGGUUCUAUUUUGUUGGUUUUCGGAACCCCGAGGUAAUGAUUAAUAGGAACGGAUGGGGGCAUUCGUAUUGCGACGUUAGAGGUGAAAUUCUUGGAUCGUCGCAAGACGAACAGAAGCGAAAGCAUUUGCCAAAAACGCUUUCAUUGAUCAAGAACGAAAGUUAAAGGUUUGAAGGCGAUCAGAUACCGCCCUAAUUUUAACCAUAAACGAUGCCAGCUAGCCAUCCGUCGACGUUCCUCCGAUGACUCGACGGGCAGCUUCCGGGAAACCAAAGCUUUUGGGUUCCGGGGGAAGUAUGGUUGCAAAGCUGAAACUUAAAGGAAUUGACGGAAGGGCACCACCAGGAGUGGAGCCUGCGGCUUAAUUUGACUCAACACGGGAAACCUCACCAGGCCCGGACACCGGAAGGAUUGACAGAUUGAGAGCUCUUUCUUGAUUCGGUGGGUGGUGGUGCAUGGCCGUUCUUAGUUGGUGGAGCGAUUUGUCUGGUUAAUUCCGAUAACGAACGAGACUCUAGCCUGCUAACUAGGCGCAUUUUGACAUCGNCAAAGGCCCGCCGUGGUUCCGCGCGUCGGCGUCGGGUUUCGGNCUCUUCGUNCGCGCGCGUUCNCUCGCGCGCGGUUUUUACUGUCGGCGUACAAACAAUUCUUCUUAGAGGGACAGGCGGCAUUUAGCCGCACGAGAUUGAGCAAUAACAGGUCUGUGAUGCCCUUAGAUGUUCUGGGCCGCACGCGCGCUACACUGAAGGAAUCAGCGUGUCNNCUCCCUGGCCGAGUGGCCCGGGUAACCCGCNUGAACCUCCUUCGUGCUAGGGAUUGGGGCUUGCAAUUGUUCCCCAUGAACNGAGGAAUNUCCCAGUAAGNCGCGAGUCAUAAGCUCGCGUUGAUUACGUCCCUGCCCUUUGUACACACCGCCCGUCGCUACUACCGAUUGAAUGAUUUAGUGAGGUCUUCGGAUCGACACGCGAUGGNNCGUUUCGGCGNUCGUCGAUGCNGUCAGAGAAGAUGACCAAACUUGAUCAUUUAGAGGAAGUAAAAGUCGUAACAAGGUUUCCGU